GCCCCCUUAGCUCAGAGGAUAGAGCAGAGGUUUCCUAAACCUUUGGUCCCAGGUUCGACUCCUGGAGGGGGCA
rnacentral:tRNA from 1 species